GGUUUAAGAACAGACUUCCAGAAUGGAUUAAAUUCGUAAACCGAGGUACCACUGUAUUCUCUAUUGUUAGGCAACAACCUCCAAAGUAUCUUGCAGCCCUGCUAUUGUUCUUAAUAUUGUACUGUUCUUUAUGUGCUCAACCUAUGAGCACAUAUAAAAGAUAAGUUAUGACUUGACCAUGUGGCAAGGAAGCAUCUUCUGCACAUCAGAGUGGUCAAUUUAUUACAACUGGAGGACACAAUGUAAUGACAAAAUAUGCUCUAAAAGGCAAUCUUGUAGGUAAACUGGUUCCAAGUUGUUAAGGGCUUUAUAACACCUUGAAGUUGGUCCAGUAGCAAAUUGGCAACAGAGCUAGAGGACCCAAUGUGCACUGCAAAAUAAGCCUCCUUCUUCUUUUUUUGCAGCCUCACUGCCACAUUAUAGGCACGACUGUGUGUUCUUAGCAGUGUUCUUUUGGCUUCAGAGUGAGACUUGCUCCACCUGCACUCCAGUCUUCAUCCGGACUGUUUUACAAUCUGGAGCUCCUGAGAGUACCAAGAACUCCUUGGGCUCGAAAAUGCCAGAGAGAAUGCUCAGCAGUGAUUGUGUCUACUGCCCAUUUCCUCUCGCCAUUCCAUAGCGACGAGGUCUUUGACAGGAUCACCUGCUUUCUCCACUGGAAAAUUCCCCAGAGCAUUCAGGAACAUAUCUGGUCCCAUCAGUCUCUGAGAGCGGGCCAUGUAAAUGGGCUCACUACCCUUACAAGUUGAGAGAUCUAUAUCUAUCACUAUUAUUUACAAUGCUGGGAAGACUGAGAGACCUACAGAAAUUACCAACCAGUGAUAGCUUCUCCUAGAAGGAGUUUAUGACAGUGUUCUUCUCACUACAAAACCAAAGAGGAAACUGACGUCCAAACAGCAAACAAGACCAGAAUCAGUCAAAACUAGGCCCGUUAAAAUUAUCAACUUUGAGGCAGCAGUGAAAGUAAACAAAGCAAGGGCAAGCAUUUUAGCAUCUGCUGUGCUUUGUUGUUGUUGUUUUCCAAAAUGAACCAAGCAGAAUGCAUUGGAAAAAACUGGUACCCAUUUCUAAUUGUUUGGGGUUUAUCUGAACACAUGAUGCAAAAGGAUAUAGGUUGACGUCUCAAGGCAAAGUAGUAGUGGUGAGUAAUUAAAUACCAAACUGAUCAGCUAAACUAUUUGGUCCUUUCUUUUUAGUUUUUGCACUUUCUAUUUUGCCUUGGGUUGCUAUUCUGGGAAAUUAGGCUGCAAAAGCACAUUGUAAUGAGUGAGCCUUAAACAGCAUGUGUGCAGUACUGAAGCCAUGGGCUGCAGGCAAUGAACUGCUUCCAAAGGGGACAUUUUAAUUCCAUACACCUUUUGCAAGGGAGACAGAAGCUGUAAAGUAUAACAUUUUAAAAGUUAUUACUAAGCAGAUCCUCAAAGCAGCAUACAGUACUGCUUUAUUAUAGUGAACAAGAUGUGCCUUUGAAGAACAAGAGGUUCCCAAAUAUAAAAAGUAUAAAAAGUUGCCCCAAGAUCAGUCAAAGACCAGAACAUUCUCCAUAGCUUUUGAUGCAACCGAUAUAUAGAAGCAACUAAGACUUUGGGCAGCUUGAUGACACAAACAUAUAUUUCUCUCACA